AAAAUAGUUAAAGCAAGUAAAUCUGUCGUUGCACCUCAGCUGACCAGUCUUAUAAAUUUGACUGUGGACACGGGCAUAUUUCCAGACAAACUUAAAGAAGCCCAAGUUACACCCUUACAUAAAAAGAGCGACCCACUACUGAAAUCAAAUUACAGACCAGUCAGUGUGUUACCUAUUUUUUCAAAAUUUUACGAAAAGAUAUUUGAAAUACAGUUAUACGAUUUCUUUGAUUCCAUUUUUAAUCCUUAUCUAUGUGCUUUCCGUAGAGGACAUGGAUGUCAGACUACGUU
rnacentral:lncRNA from 1 species